GCGACGUCUGCUGUUGUCGAGACGUAUUACGUCUUGUCGCUUUGGUGUGUUCCGAGGCCCUUUUUUGAGCAAUUUGGG